UACGAAGGGUGCUAGCGUUGUUCGGAAUUACUGGGCGUAAAGCGCGCGUAGGCGGUUAUACAAGUCAGGGGUGAAAUCCCAGAGCUUAACUCUGGAACUGCCUUUGAAACUGUAUAGCUGGAGUGUGUGAGGGGAUGGCGGAAUUCCUAAUGUAGAGGUGAAAUUCGUAGAUAUUAGGAGGAACACCGGUGGCGAAGGCGGCCAUCUGGCACACAACUGACGCUGAGGCGCGAAAGCGUGGGGAUCAAACAGG
rnacentral:rRNA from 1 species